GACGAACGCUGGCGGCGUGCCUAACACAUGCAAGUCGAGCGAGAGACUUCGGUCUCUAGCGGCGGACGGGUGAGUAACACGUGGGUAACCUGCCUCAUAGUGGGGAUAGCCUUCCGAAAGGAAGAUUAAUACCGCAUAUACUCUCGAUACCACAUGGUAUUUAGAGGAAAGGAGCAAUCCGCUACGAGAUGGACCCGCGGCGCAUUAGCUAGUUGGUGAGGUAACGGCUCACCAAGGCGACGAUGCGUAGCCGACCUGGGAGGGUGAUCGGCCACAUUGGAACUGGGACACGGUCCAGACUCCUACGGGAGGCAGCAGUGGGGAAUAUUGCACAAUGGGCGAAAGCCUGAUGCAGCAACGCCGCGUGAGUGAUGACGGCCUUCGGGUUGUAAAGCUCUGUCUUUUGGGACGAUAAUGACGGUACCAAAGGAGGAAGCCACGGCUAACUACGUGCCAGCCGCCGCCGUAA
rnacentral:rRNA from 1 species